rnacentral:rRNA from 1 species
GACAGAGGGUGCAAACGUUGUUCGGAAUUACUGGGCGUAAAGCGCACGUAGGCGGAUUGUUAAGUCGGGGGUGAAAUCCUGGAGCUCAACUCCAGAACUGCCUUCGAAACUGGCGAUCUUGAGUCCGGGAGAGGUGAGUGGAACUGCGAGUGUAGAGGUGAAAUUCGUAGAUAUUCGCAAGAACACCAGUGGCGAAGGCGGCUCACUGGCCCGGUACUGACGCUGAGGUGCGAAAGCGUGGGGAGCAAACAGG